rnacentral:misc_RNA from 1 species
AAGUCGUAACAAGGUAACCGUAGGUGAACCUGCGGUUGGAUCAUUACGAAAUUAAAAAACUCUGUGGGUGACGUGGCUCCUUUUCCCUGGAAAAGGCGCCAAAGAUCCUCAGACUUACACCCUUGUGAACCUUUCCCGUAUUUUGGCGACCAGCUUCAUAAGCUGUCCUUGGUCUGCCCGUGACUCCGUUUGUUGGGACCGUUUGUUUUCGUAAUAAACGGUUCCUUGGGUCAUGCGGUGGUGCCUUGGAUAGCUUUGGUCGUCAGCCACUGACAAACACCCACAUUAUUGUAUGACCCUGAAACCCAAUUGAGAAUACCAAUGAGAAACAACUUUAGACAACGGAUCUCUUGGCUCUC